GAUGAACGCUGGCGGUAUGCCUAAUACAUGCAAGUCGUGCGGAAAGGCCUCUUCGGAGGUACUCGAGCGGCGGACGGCAGAGUAACGCGUAGGAACAUACCCCAAACUGAGGGAUAACUGCUCGAAGAGUAGCUAAUACCGCAUGUGGUCUUCGGACUAAAGCUUCGGCGGUUUGGGAAUGGCCUGCGUUCGAUUAGCUAGUUGGUGAGGUAAUUGCUCACCAAGGCGACGAUCGAUAGCUGGUCUGAGAGGAUGAUCAGCCUGACUGGAACUGAGACACGGUCCAGACUCCUACGGGAGGCAGCAGUAGGGAAUUUUCCACAAUGGGCGAAAGCCUGAUGGAGCAAUACCGCGUGCAGGAUGAAGGCCUUCGGGUCGUAAACUGCUUUAUGUGAGAAGAAUUUGAUGGUAACACAUGAAUAAGGGUCGGCGUAACUACGUGCCAGCAGCCGCGG
rnacentral:rRNA from 1 species